AGUUCUUCGAAGCAGUCAAGCCCAGGACUGCUUGCAGGAAUAUUUGGAGGCAGAAGAAAACAAAGUUCGUCAAACAGAAACCAAGGAUGGUGGCAAGAUUUUACACCAGUAAGUAUACAGAAGGGUCUUUUUUCUCUGAGUGUUUCCUAUCACCUCAAUAUCUAAUAUUGAAACGGGUUAGCUGAAUGGAAAGGUGGAGUAUUGGGCCAAAUUACUAGCAUGUCACAACUUGAAGGAAGAAACUGCAAAACAUGUCACAUGUAAGCUGUUCUGGUUAGAAGAUGAUGAUGUACGUUACUAAAUGUAUUGCCACCCAUCACCAGCCAGUCCCUGAAUUUAAAAUUCAUAACUUAAAAGCAAUUAAGGUGCAGUAUAGAAUGAGUCCUGAAAGCAUACAUCUCAAGGGUCAAAGGCCGAGACGAAAGGAUGCAUGAUUAAUCUUAACAUAUGUGAACAUUAAGAGGAAAGCUUUGUCCCCGUUUGGCUUUGGAAUAGGACAUUCCUGGACCAAAUCAGACUGGGAUAUUUUUUUCUCCUUGGUUGGUUGAAGGUGAAGAGAGAAGAAAACUAUGUUCUUUGCUCUUCAAUUAGGAUGUUGUUCAUCAUGCCACAAGCUGUAAUAUAAAAUCAGCAUCAUAAAUGAAUUAGGCAGGAUUCUUUGAGAAACAGAGAGUUAAAUUGGAAUGAUCCUCUAACUUGGGAAUUGGCAGACUUUAGGCCAGGCUUCCUCAGCCUCGGCCCCCCAGAUGUUUUGAGACUACAAUUCCCAUCAUCCCUGACCACUGGUCCUGCUAGCUAGGGAUCAUGGGAGUUGUAGGCCAAAAACAUCUGGAGGGCUGAGGUUG